CAGUACCACCAAGGGCCCAUCUGGUGGCACUGUUAGCUGAAGUCUUUAUUUCACAAACAGAAGGACAAAUCUUACACAAGAAAAAGAGAAGAAAAAGGAAAAUUCUCACUAAUGGAGCUAUUCAUGUUGCGGUGAUCAAGUGACAUGGUCAAGUGUCAUUUUAUGUGCCUGUACCAUCACAUUCUCUUCAGUCACGUUCUCAGGAUUUCCACAGUAUAAUGUGAGACAAAUCUACACAAGAUGAGAAUACCUACGUGUUCAAAAUGCAGACUUUCAACCUGAUACAACCCCACUGAUAAUCUCAGAAACAUGGGAAUUGCAUUCUUCAUGUGGAGACUUCUGAAGGAGCUUCCCUGGGUGCACCAGUUCCCAUUCAUAGGAAUGGAAGAAAUUAUUUGAGUGUUGACCCAAGCCAGAAUCAAUGGCCUCCUCAGAGCUC